rnacentral:rRNA from 1 species
GACGAACGCUGGCGGCGUGCUUAACACAUGCAAGUCGAGCGGUAAGGCCCUUUCGGGGGUACACGAGCGGCGAACGGGUGAGUAACACGUGGGUGACCUGCCCUCAGCUCUGGGAUAAGCCUGGGAAACUGGGUCUAAUACUGGAUAUGACUCCACGGUGCAUGUCGUGGGGUGGAAAGCCUUGUGCGGCUGAGGAUGGGCCCGCGGCCUAUCAGCUUGUUGGUGGGGUGANGGCCUACCAAGGCUAUGACGGGUAGCAGGUGUGAGAGCACGACCUGCGACAUCGAAACUGAGACACUGUUCGGACUCCUACGGGAGGCUGCAGCGAACGAAUCUUCCGCAAUGGGCGCAAGCCUGACGGAGCGACGCCGCGUGUGGGAUGAAGCGCCUUCGGCGU